rnacentral:rRNA from 1 species
CUACGGGUCGCUCCAGCAAGGAAUUUUGCGCAAUGGGCGAAAGCCUGACGCAGCAACGCCGCGUGGGGGAAGAAGGCCUUCGGGUCGUAAACCCCUUUUCCCAGGGAAGAAAACUGACGGUACCUGGGGAAUAAGUCUCGGCUAACUACGUGCCAGCAGCCGCGGUAAUACGUAGGAGGCGAGCGUUAUCCGGAUUCAUUGGGCGUAAAGGGGGUGCAGGUGGUUUUUCAAGUCGGUUGUAAAAUCUCCCGGCUCAACUGGGAGGGACCAUCCGAUACUGGGAAACUUGAGAGCAGCAGAGGAAAGCGGAAUUCCCGGUGGAGUGGUGAUAUGCGUAGAUAUCGGGAAGAACACCAGUGGCGAAGGCGGCUUUCUGGGCUGUUUCUGACGCUGAGACCCGAAAGCGUGGGGAGCGAACAGGAUUAGAUACCCGCGUAGUC